rnacentral:rRNA from 1 species
ACGAACGCUGGCGGCGUGCUUAACACAUGCAAGUCGAACGGAAAGGCCCUGCUUUUGUGGGGUGCUCGAGUGGCGAACGGGUGAGUAACACGUGAGUAACCUGCCCUUGACUUUGGGAUAACUUCAGGAAACUGGGGCUAAUACCGGAUAGGAGCUCCUGCUGCAUGGUGGGGGUUGGAAAGUUUCGGCGGUUGGGGAUGGACUCGCGGCUUAUCAGCUUGUUGGUGGGGUAGUGGCUUACCAAGGCUUUGACGGGUAGCCGGCCUGAGAGGGUGACCGGCCACAUUGGGACUGAGAUACGGCCCAGACUCCUACGGGAGGCAGCAGUGGGGAAUAUUGCACAAUGGGCGGAAGCCUGAUGCAGCAACGCCGCGUGCGGGAUGACAGCCUUUGGGUUGUAAACCGCUUUCGCCUGUGACGAAGCGUGAGUGACGGUAAUGGGUAAAGAAGCACCGGCUAACUACGUG